rnacentral:rRNA from 1 species
AGAGUUUGAUCCUGGCUCAGGAUGAACGCUGGCGGCGUGCCUUACACAUGCAAGUCGUACGAGUAUGCCUAUGAAGCUUCGGCCGAUUAGGAGUUACAUACUAGUGGCGGACGGGUGCAAAACGCGUAAAUAAUCUUCCCUUUAGACGGGCAUAACCUUGAGAAAUUAGGGCUAAUACCCGAUAAGUUCAUGAAGUCUCCUGACUUUAUGAGGAAACCUAGCAAUAGGCUGAAGGAUGAGUUUGCGUCUGAUUAGCUAGUUGGUGUGGUAAAAGCUCACCAAGGCAAUGAUCAGUAGCUGGUCUGAGAGGACGGACAGCCACACUGGGACUGAGAUACGGCCCAGACUCCUACGGGAGGCAGCAGUGGGGAAUAUUGCUCAAUGGGCGAAAGCCUGAAGCAGCGACGCCGCGUGAAUGAUGAAGUCCUUCGGGAUGUAAAGUUCUUUCGACAGGGACAAUAAUGAUGGUACCUGGAGAAGAAGGCCCGGCUAACUAUGUGCCAGCAGCCGCGGUAAUACAUAGGGGCCAAGCGUUAUCCGGAUUUACUGGGCGUAAAGCGCGUGUAGGUGGUUAGGCAAGUCAGGUGUUAAAACUAGAAGCUCAACUUCUAGUCGCCCCUGAAACUGUUUAGCUUCGAGUUUGGGAGAGGAUAGUGGAACUCAUAGUGUAGCGGUGAAAUGCGUAGAUAUUAUGAGGAACACCAGUGGCGAAGGCGACUAUCUGGACCAAUACUGACACUGAGACGCGAAAGCAUGGGGAGCAAACAGGAUUAGAUACCCUGGUAGUCCAUGCCGUAAACGAUGUUCAUUAGGUGUAGGGGGUAUCGACCCCUCCUGUGCCGUAGCUAACGCGUUAAAUGAACCGCCUGGGAACUACGACCGCAAGGUUAAAACUCAAAGAAAUUGACGGGGGCCCGCACAAGCAGUGGAUCAUGUGGUUUAAUUCGACGAUACGCGAAAAACCUUACCAGCCCUUGACAUCUGCCCGAUCGGUAUAGAGGUAUACCGUGACUCGCAAGAGAAGGCAAGACAGGUGGUGCAUGGCUGUCGUCAGCUCGUGUUGUGAAAUGUUGGGUUAAGUCCCGCAACGAGCGCAACCCCUAUCUUAUGUUACCAGCACGUUAUGGUGGGUACUCAUUAGAAACUGCCUGUGGAAAACAGGAGGAAGGCGGGGAUGACGUCAAGUCCUCAUGCCCCUUAUGGACUGGGCUACACACAUGAUACAAUGGUUAGGACAAAGGGUUGCCAAACCGCAAGGUGGAGCUAAUCCCAUAAAACUAAUCUCAAUUCGGAUUGCAGGCUGCAAUUCGCCUGCAUGAAGUUGGAAUUGCUAGUAAACGCAGAUCAGCACGCUGCGUUGAAUACGUUCCCGGGCCUUGUACACACCGCCCGUCACACCAUGAAAGCUAGAAAUACCCAAAGUAUCGCGUAAGCGGUCCUAAGGUAGAGCUAGUGAUUAGGGUGAAGUCGUAACAAGGUAACC